AGGGCGCACAGUGGAUGCCUUGGCAUCAAGGGCCGAUGAAGGGCGCGGUAUGACUGCGAAAAGCCCCGGUGAGCUGUCUAACAAGCCUAGCCGGGGAUACCCGAAUGGAGCAAUCCAUCCUGAUUAAAAUCAGGAUACUCCCAGCCGAGCAAAUAAGCUGGGUAGAGGUAAGUGGGGGAAGUGAAACAUCUCAGUACCCCGAGGAAAAUAGAAGAUUUCCCUAGUAGUGGCGAACGAACGGGAAGCAGCCCAAACGCAUUAAACUGAGUGGCUUCGAGGCCUAUGUUUAACGCGGGUCGUAAGGCAAGUCUGGUCUAGCUCGAAACUGACCAAGGAGUUACAAACCGUACUCUAGCUGAAGGUCUCUGGAAAGAGCCAUCACAGAGGGUGAUAAUCCCGUAAGCGAAAGAGGAAGGCUCCUGAUUUGUCCUUAAGUACCAUGGGACACGUGGAACCCCAUGGGAAUCCGCCAUGACCACAUGGCAAGGCUAAAUACCCUUGAUGACCGAUAGUGAACUAGUACCGUGAGGGAAAGGUGAAAAGCACCCCGAGAGGGGAGUGAAAGAGAACUGAAACUGUGUGCUUACAAGCAGUCAGAGUGUCGCCGCAAGGCGGUAUAAUGGCGUGCCUAUUGAAGAAUGAGCCGGCGAGUUAAUCUACGCAGCGUGGUUAAGUGAUUAAGUCACGGAGCCGAAGCGAAAGCGAGUCUAAAUAAGGCGUUUGUUGUGUGGAUUAGACCCGAAGCCGGGUGAGCUACCCAUGACCAGGUUGAAGCUCCGAUAAUAUCGUAGUGGAGGACCGAACUCUUUAGUGUUGCAAAACUAUGAGAUGAGUUGUGGGUAGGGGUGAUAUGCCAAACGAACCCGGGUAUAGCUGGUACUCCCCGAAAUGUAUUGAGGUACAGCCUCAGGUGUUCGUUAGUGGAGGUAGGGCUCUGAAUGGAUUAGGUGGGAGAAUAUCCUGUCAACUCCAAUCAAACCGCAAAUGCCACUAACCUAAGCCUGGGAGUGAGACUGCGACGGCUAAGCGCCGUGGUCGAGAGGGAAACAGCCCAGACCAUCAGCUAAGGUCCCAAAGAACAGACUAAGUGGGCAAGGAAGUUGCACCGCUCAGACAGCCAGGAGGUUGGCUCAGAAGCAGCCAUCCUUUAAAGAGUGCGUAAUAGCUCACUGGUUUAGUGGUGCUGCGCCGACAAUGUACCGGGGCUAAAGUCUGUCACCGAAGCUAUGGCAUACUCCGAUUUAUCGGGGGAUGGGUAGGGGAGCGUUCCCUUUGCUGCGAAGUCGUCAUGUGAAUGACGGUGGAGCGGAGGGAAGUGAGGAUGUCGGCAUGAGUAGCGCAAGAUAUGUGAGAAACAUAUCCACCGGAAACCCAAGGUUUCCUACGCAAGGUUAAUCCGCGUAGGGUUAGUCGGUCCUAAGCCGAGGCCGCGAGGCGUAGAGCGAUGGACAGCUGGUUAAUAUUCCAGCACCGUUUUUGCAGAGGUAAAGGGGCGACGCAGAAGGAUAGGCAGAGCGUGCCCAUCGGACAUGGUGCGUCACAAACUCCAGGUGAUGCCGGGGUAGGGAAAUCCGCCCUGGAUAUAGCUGAAGGUGAGGGGAAGCUGCGGGAAACCAAGGCGAUUCUUCUGAAUCCAUACUGCCAAGAAAACCCUCGUUAUCAUUGAAGCAAAAGCGUCCGUACCGCAAACCGACUCUGGUGGGUGGGGAUAAAUGUCCCAAGGUGAUCGAGACAACCCACGUUAAGGAACUAGGCAAUCUAACCCCGUAACUUUGGAAGAAGGGGGGCCCGCGCGAGCGGGUAGCAUGAAAUCGGCUCAAGCAACUGUUUAACUAAAACACAGGUCUCUGCUAAAGCGUAAGCUGAAGUAUAGGGGCUGAUACCUGCCCAGCGCCAGAAGGUUAAGGGGAUGUGUGCAAGCACUGAACUGAAGCCCUGGUAAGCGGCGGCCGUAACUAUAACGGUCCUAAGGUAGCGAAAUCCCUUGUCAGGUAAGUUCUGACCCGCACGAAUGGUGUAAUGACUUGAGCGCUGUCUCAACGUGGGACUCGGCGAAAUUGAAGUAUCUGUGAAGAUGCGGAUUUACCCGCGACUGGACAAAAAGACCCCGUGGAGCUUUACUGUAACUUGACAUUGAGUCUGGGUUUAUCAUGUGUAGCAUAGGUGGGAGACUUUGAAGUCGGGGCGCUAGCCUCGAUGGAGUCGUCACUGAAAUACCACUCUUGAUGAAUCUAGCCUCUAACUCUAGAACAAGCUGGAGAACAAUGUCUGGUGGGCAGUUUGACUGGGGCGGUCGCCUCCCAAAAGGUAACGGAGGCGUGCAAAGGUCCCCUCAGGGUGGAUGGAAACCACCCGUAGAGUGUAUUGGCAUAAGGGGGCUUGACUGUGAGACUUACAAGUCGAGCAGACAGGAAACUGGGCCAAAGUGAUCCUACGGUCCCGAGUGGAAGGGCCGUGGCUUAUCGGAUAAAAGCUACCCCGGGGAUAACAGGCU
rnacentral:rRNA from 1 species